rnacentral:rRNA from 1 species
UGGGGAUUAUUGCACAAUGGGCGCAAGCCUGAUGCAGCCAUGCCGCGUGUAUGAAGAAGGCCUUCGGGUUGUAAAGUACUUUCAGCGGGGAGGAAGGGAGUAAAGUUAAUACCUUUGCUCAUUGACGUCACCCGCAGAAGAAGCACCGGCUAACUCCGUGCCAGCAGCCGCGGUAAUACGGAGGGUGCAAGCGUUAAUCGGAAUUACUGGGCGUAAAGCGCACGCAGGCGGUUUGUUAAGUCAGAUGUGAAAUCCCCGGGCUCAACCUGGGAACUGCAUCUGAUACUGGCAAGCUUGAGUCUCGUAGAGGGGGGUAGAAUUCCAGGUGUAGCGGUGAAAUGCGUAGAGAUCUGGAGGAAUACCGGUGGCGAAGGCGGCCCCCUGGACGAAGACUGUCGCUCAGGUGCGAAAGCGUGGGGAGCAAACAGG